rnacentral:rRNA from 1 species
UACGUAGGGGCCUAGCGUUGUCCGGAUUAUUGGGCGUAAAGAGCUCGUAGGCGGCUUGUCGCGUCGGCUGUGAAAACCUGGGGCUCAACCCCGGGCCUGCAGUCGAUACGGGCAGGCUAGAGUCCGGCAGGGGAGACUGGAAUUCCUGGUGUAGCGGUGGAAUGCGCAGAUAUCAGGAGGAACACCGAUGGCGAAGGCAGAUCUCUGGGCCGUAACUGACGCUGAGGAGCGAAAGCAUGGGGAGCGAACAGG